rnacentral:rRNA from 1 species
GACGAACGCUGGCGGCGUGCUUAACACAUGCAAGUCGAGCGGUAAGGCCCUUUCGGGGGUACGACGAGCGGCGAACGGGUGAGUAACACGUGGGUGACCUGCCCUCAGCUCUGGGAUAAGACCUGGGAAACCGGGUCUAAUACCGGAUAUGACUCCAUGACGCAUGUUGUGGGGUGGAAAGCCUUGUGCGGCUGAGGAUGGGCCCGCGGCCUAUCAGCUUGUUGGUGGGGUGAUGGCCUACCAAGGCGACGACGGGUAGCCGGCCUGAGAGGGCGACCGGCCACACUGGGACUGAGACACGGCCCAGACUCCUACGGGAGGCAGCAGUGGGGAAUCUUGCGCAAUGGGCGAAAGCCUGACGCAGCGACGCCGCGUGAGGGAUGACGGCCUGUGUAACUC